GAUGAACGCUGACAGAAUGCUUAACACAUGCAAGUCAACUUGAACUUCGGUUUGGGUGGCGGACGGGUGAGUCACGCGUAAAGAACUUGCCUCACAGAUAGGGACAACAUUUGGAAACGAAUGCUAAUACCUGAUAUUAUGAUUUUAGGGCAUCCUAGGAUUAUGAAAGCUAUAUGCGCUGUGAGAGAGCUUUGCGUCCCAUUAGCUAGUUGGAGAGGUAACGGCUCACCAAGGCGAUGAUGGGUAGCCGGCCUGAGAGGGUGAUCGGCCACAAGGGGACUGAGACACGGCCCUUACUCCUACGGGAGGCAGCAGUGGGGAAUAUUGGACAAUGGACCAAGAGUCUGAUCCAGCAAUUCGGUGUGCACGAUGAAGUUUUUCGGAAUGUAAAGUGCUUUCAGUUGGGAAGAAAAAAAUGACGGUACCAACAGAAGAAGUGACGGCUAAAUACGU
rnacentral:rRNA from 1 species